rnacentral:rRNA from 1 species
AGGCUAAUACAUGCAAGUCGAGGGGUAACCAGGAGUGCUUGCACUUGCUGACGACCGGCGCACGGGUGCGUAACGCGUAUAUAACUUGCCUUUGUCUUGGAAGAUAGCCCCGGAGAAAAUCCGGAUUUAAUAUYUCCAUGGUAUCUUAAGCUCGCAUGAGUUAAAGAUUAAAGAUUUAUCGGACAGAGAUGGAUAUGCGUCCCAUUAGCUAGUUGGUAAGGUAACYGGCUUACCAAGGCAACGAUGGGUAGGGGUUCUGAGAGGAAGGUCCCCCACACUGGCACUGAGAUACGGGCCAGACUCCUACGGGAGGCAGCAGUAGGGAAUAUUGGGCAAUGGAGGCAACUCUGACCCAGCCAUGCCGCGUGAGUGAUGAAUGCCUUCGGGUUGUAAAGCUCUUUUGUAUGGGAAGAACCACAMUCUUGCGAGAUUGUCUGASGGUACCAUAAGAAUAAGCACCGGCUAACUNCGUGCCAGCAGCCGCGGUAAUACGGAGGGUGNAAGCGUUGUNCGGAAUUAUUGGGUUUANAGGGUGCGCAGGUGGCCUUUAUAAGUCAGAGGUUAAAGANNGGRGCUCAACUCCGUGUUUGCCUUUGAUACUGUAAGGCUUGAAAUACGUAUGGGUAGGCGGAAUUCCUCAUGUAGCGGUGAAAUGCACAGAUAUGAGGAGGAAGACCGAAGGCGAAGGCAGCUUACUGGCGUUAUUUGACACUGAGGCACGAAAGCGUGGGGAGCGAACAGGAUUAGAUACCCUGGUAGUCCACGCCGUAAACGAUGAGAACUCGACCUGUGUGGUGUAACAUGGCGGGUCCCAGCGAAGCKAGAAGUUCUCCACCUGGG